GUGGGGAAUAUUGGACAAUGGGCGCAAGCCUGAUCCAGCCAUGCCGCGUGAGUGAUGAAGGCCUUAGGGUCGUAAAGCUCUGUUGAAUGGGAAGAAAAAAAUGACGGUACCAUUCGAGGAAGGACCGGCUAACUUCGUGCCAGCAGCCGCGGUAAUACGAGGGGUCCUAGCGUUGUUCGGAAUCAUUGGGCGUAAAGGGUGUGUAGGUGGCCAUGUAAGUCAGGUGUGAAAGCCCCGGGCUCAACCCGGGAAGUGCACUUGAUACUGCGUGGCUUGAGUACCGAAGAGGGUAGUGGAAUUCCAGGUGUAGUGGUGAAAUACGUAGAUAUCUGGAGGAACACCGGUGGCGAAGGCGGCUACCUGGUCGAGUACUGACACUGAGACACGAAAGCAUGGGGAUCAAACAGGAUUAGAAACCCCAGUAGUCC
rnacentral:rRNA from 1 species